CAGCUGGUGUCAAAUAUCGGCGUUUUAAUCACUUCGUUUGGGGCAAUUGGUGUCUUUUGGUACCAAUUGAAAACAUAUAUAUUAUCGACGAACCAGCUCAAACAAGACCGAAUGACACCGAAACAAAUUCACAACAUUUAAUAAACCAGAGAUUGGACGGAUGUGAAAAGCGAUUGGAUGAAAUGGAUAAACGAUUGAAACGUGUAGAAGAUGGAAGGAAUUCCUGAGCUGCAACGAAUUAAACCAAGAUUAGGAGCGAUUUCUUCGAAUGUGCCUUCAAAAUGCUGUGAUCUGUCACUCAAAAAGCUUUUUUUUAUUCAAUAAAAUUCAGUCAGUCGUAGUGUUAA